CAAAAAGAUUUUCCUAUACUUUUAUGUCAUUACCACUAAAACUGUCUUUCAUAUUAAAACUUUCCACAAUCUAACCAUUUAACAUCAUUACCUAAUUUCAAACACUAAACUAAUUUUGUUCUUUUCUACAAACAACUAAUCUGCACUACAAUUAAUACCACUAUUUAAUUGACAAACAAGGCCUCUUCCCAUCACACUCAAAAGUGUUCCUACAAGAAUCACAUACAAUGUUCCACAUCUAAUCCUGCUUUUGAAACAUAAACUUGAUCAAAAAUUAUUUUACUUAUGGGGUGCCUGAAACUCCUACAACAAACACAAACAAACCAAAAAAAAAAAAAGAAACUCCUACAACAACCAUUUGAGAACUAGCAAUGCAAACAUUAUCAGUGAAACAUAGAGCAGAAAAUAUACCUCCUUUAUCAAUUAAUAUCUCCAAUUUAAUUACAUAAUAAUGCACAGCAUUUCACAGACAAUCUUCUUCUCUGUUCGCAGUUGCCUGCUAAUCUUGAUUUGGAAGUAGAGGCUCGAGGAAAUGGACAAGGAAUACUAGAGUACAGGGAAAGACGACCACGGGUUGUGACCUAUUACAAUCAGCUGCAUGAGGUGGAAGAGAAAAUGCCCUGCAAGCACUUUGAUCUCAACGUCACUUUUGAAGGAUCCAGCGGUAGAUCAAAUUCUCACACUAUAUCACAUAUUUUACACGACGUCCUUCAGACGGGUGACAAAUUAAAGCAAAUGCACUUUAACAAAAAAAAAAAAAAACAAAGCAUUUUGACUGCUGACCUGAGUAAAUUUAGUAAAUUGAAUUUAUAAAACACUCGCGUACAAUCUCUUAAAAUACAUACGUUUUGCAUACAUCACAAUGCAAGGACUGUGUGUGCUCAUCUUCAGGGACUUUUUGUUCGUAUUAUUUUUGUUAAGAUCAAAUGAAUACAUGAUUGUUAAGAUCAAAAUAACACGUUGGAGCAUAAUUACAUCAAAUACACUAUUACAUACGCUCUAGCCCACCAUAUAAUAUAUACAGCUGUACAUUAAUUAAUGCUUUGCUGCUGUCCCGGACCAGAAAAGCCUCCAGCAGAUGUAGAAAAGUCAGACAAGAUCAAGUAGUUGUUGUUGUUGUUAUACGUGUACACGACUGUGCAAAAUGUUAGAUCGGCAGCAAUAUCGACUACCUUAUUACAAAUUGCAGGGCACAGUUUCACAGCUUUGGGUAGUUCAAAAUAUCUUGUGCCAGUUCCUCUGUGGACUGACACUCUGUACAUUAUCUGAUAGGUACUUUAUUCAUUCCCUUAGGGAGAUUCAAGGUAUGCAUGAGCUCACGUGUUACAUAGAAGAUAGAGGGCCACUGUGCGAAUGAGCAUGCAACAGACAUCCCAAAUCUGCCUAAAAUGCUGGUAUUUACAGAGGUGAGCUUAAAAAACUGUUAAUAUUUACAAUAAAGUGCAAAUCGGUGUUAUUUGCAAUAAAAAUAGAGCAUGAUAAGAGUUCAUAAUACAAUAAAUAUAGCAUUUGAAGUACAAACGAUGUCAGAGCUCUGUGGAAGAACAUCUGUUGGUCUGCAGAUGCAGGUACAUCUGUUAGUCUGCUGCUGCAGGUAGUUCUUCAUGGAUUCUUGGUGUGCCUCAGUAAAGACUGAUUCCUCUGGUUUUUCUUUCAGACUCAUUUUAAAAUGCUGCUGCUCACAUGCUCAAAGACUUUAAUCUGAUCAGUGACUGAUUGUACGUUAUGCCUUUACAUGAACAAUGUGACAGCAGCUGAUUAUAGUCGUAUAGUCAUCGUGCCCUUUGUCAGUGCUGUUCUUUUUCUCAUUCACAGCAGGGCUCUAGGACCCGGAGACGUCAGGAUGGUGGUUCUUGAUAUCAGUCUACCAACUGGAUUCACCCCAGAAAACUCUGACCUGGAGAUGGUAAUCACCUUCUAGUGCUAGUGCAGAAAAAUCUGAAAGCUUGUGUCAAUGGUGUAUUUAAGUGUCUUUAAAAUGAAUGUAGUAUUUUAAAUAAAAGUUUGUAAAAAGUUUACUACAUCAUGAUAAUGACCUUCUAAUGGAUGAGACAUGAAUGAUCGCAUGUUUAGGACGGCGGCGUUGCUAACUAGCUAACAGCUGACUCUGUUUAUGUGUGUGUCCAGCUGUCCAAUUCAGUGCAUCGUUACAUCAGUAACUUCCAGAUUGUAGACAACCUGAGUGACAGAGGCUCCCUGAUCAUUCACCUGUUCAAAGUAACAUCACUGUAUUUAUAAUUAUUAUUCUAUGUCAUAUCAUUUUAUGUUAUUCAUAUGCUUUUCUUUUUUUCCAAGAAGCAGGUUUCUCAAUGCUCAGUAAAUAAGUCUUUAUGACCACAGUCAACAAUCUGAGGCAGUUUUAGGCUAUUACACAAAACCGGCUUAUUGGUACCAAAGCCACGGUUCAGAACUCAGACUUGCUAAAUCGGUGUUGGUGUAGUGCAGUGUAGGGCUGCAGCCAGAGUACUGACGAUAGUUAGCAAGAGAGAUCAUAUUUCUCCUAUGCUGGUUUCUCUUCAUUGGCUUCCUGUGAAAUGUAGAAUAGAAUUCAAAAUCCUUCUUCUGACAUAUAAAGCUCUUAACAACCAAUCUCCAUCAUAUCUUAAAGACCUGAUAGUACCAUAUUAUCCUAGCAGAACUCUUCGCUCUCAGACUGCAGGCUUACUCGGAGAAGCGACCUGUAACUUCUCUCUAAAAGUAGAAUGGGAGGCGGAGCCUUCAGUUAUCAGCUCCUCUCCUGUGGAACCAGCUCCCAGUUUGGGUUCCGGAGGCGGACACCCUCUCUAAUUUUAAGACCAGGCUUAAAACCUUCCUUUUUGACAAAUCUUAUAGUUAGGACUGACUGGGGGACCCUGAGGGGGUCAGCUGGAGUCUUCCUCUUGGACGUCCCUUAGUUCUGCCCCUAGUUCUGCUGCUACAGGCCUAGGCUGCUGGAGGACCUCUCUGGAUGCACUGAGCCCUUCUCUAUCUACCAUUAUAUUUAAUAUACAGUAUAUAUACCAUUAUUGCAUUACACUCACUCUGUUUCUCCCUGUGUCCUUUCUCCGAGUGUCCCUGAUCCCAGAGCUGGAUGCUUCAGAUCUGUGGUGGUUCUCCCACCAACUGGCCUAAUCUCCAUCUGUGGGAUGCUGCUGCUGCUGACCUUCCUCCAGCCCACUGCUUCCAGCUGCCCAUUUCCAUCAAUCUACUCUGCAUCACCCUCACUAUACUUGAUUUGCUCGUCUACAUAUUUUUGAAUUUACCACCAGCUAUAUAUGUAGUAUAUUUAAUGCCAGAGCCAUACACCGUAGCAGUAAACUAUAAUCAGUUUCCAGCCCAGAGGGAUAUAUGCGCAGAUUUUUUUAAAUACCAUGUAGAAGACUAUAUACAGGAAGAUGAGGUAUCAGUUCUUGCACAUAGAUAUACAACAGUCCUUUAUUACUCCCCAGGUUAGGGGAAAUUUCCAGUGUUAGAGCAGCAAAAAUCUUUCAGAGCAGCACUAACUACAGUUUGCUACAGUAAAGAUAAUAAUUAUAAUAACAAUAAUAUAUACAAGAAUGAAAAAUGAAUAAAUACAGUAUUACUACACUAUAAGUGACAUCAGCAUAAAGUGGCUUGUGGAAUACAUGUAAUUGUAAAAGUGCAGAAAAUGCCAGCCGUGCAAGGAGUUGUGGAGAUUUUCUCAAAACAGGUGAGUCCUGUGAAUAUGACCAAAAUAUGAGAUAAAACUACCAGAAACAUGUACAAAAUGGCCAAAAUAUGAUUGGUUGAUAAUGUAUCAGUGUUGUUAUUGAUUAUUGAUCGGUUGCAGGGACAGAGAUUUGUGUCUGAGUCUCUGCUGUCAUCUAAUCGCUCUCAUGUAAGAUCGUGCCACAGGAGGGGCCGCUACUGACCUCUUGUGGACACAGGCGGUAACGACACGACAUUAUUACUAACGGUAUAGCUGGCGACAUUACAGGUGAGCAGCACUUCCUGUUCAUCUUCAACGUAAAAGCAUCUUUCUUUAUUGUACAUUUUAUGUCAAACGUAUUAUUAAGCGAUUUAGGUCGAUUCAGAAGGAUCUCUGGUGUAAACCAAGUCGUAUUUGACGACAGCUAGCCUCUCCACUUGCUCCGAUUACUUUUGUUGUAGUCCGAGUCACGUCCAAACAGGAAACGAAUCCACAAUGUAGCUAAUGACAAUCUAUAGCUGCAUCUCCGUGAUGGCAGCGUUAGCGAGCUAGCAGCUAAUCAGAAGCUAGUGACAAGCUAACUCCAGCGCUACCAGCAGCGUCUCUUUAAAAGGUGCUGAUCACGAUAUCAGGCUGAAACAUUAGACCUGGGACAGGAAACGGAGCUAGAGCUCUGUGUCUUGGAGAGAAUUGAUUUUAGAGCUACGUGUGUUAAGGUAUUAGUCCGUGUCAUAACAAACCCUCGUUAGCAAUUCCGCUAGCUCGGCUAACACUUCCGGUCACGAAUGCAUCUGUACAUUACCUAUAACGUGUUCAUUUUUGAACGUAUAGUGACAACAAACACAAUUUGAGGGAGUCGACAAGCUAGUGGUCCUUAAAUACAUUUUGGUUCAUACUGCAGAUUCUUCUGAGUCUCACAAAACCACGUUUUAGCCUAAGAGCAUUACGAUAGUUUUACGUUGAAACAGGAAGUGCUGCUCAUCUGUACUGUCGCCAGCUUUGCCUCAAAUAAUAAUUAGUGUCGUUACCGCCUGUGUCCGCCAGAGGGGCAGUAGCGCCCCCUGCUCUGAUAAGGAUAAGGAUAAACUUUAUUGAUCCCACAGUGGGUAAAGUUCACCGAGCUGCUUCACUGAGGAGAGUCUUUUAGUUUUCAGAUAAUAUGAUGGCGAAGAAAAUGUGUUACUGCAGUAAAGAUUCCACUGAAUUAUUAUUUGAUCCAUGAUCGAGAGCACUCAGUUCUUCUCCAGUUUGUUGCUGCGGUCCGGUGAACAGGUGAGCUCCAGGUGAACAGGUGAUGUCAGCAGCAGGUCAGUCUGUGAUUGGAGCAGUAAAACUCAUCUACAUGAAAUUAAAUGUUAUGCUAAUGUAGAUGCACUCAUGUGACAUAAACUGUGAAGUCCACUCUAAACUGUAUUAAGGCUUAGAGCCAGGAUUUUUAACUUUUGUAUCUCUGUGUUCCCCCCCGCUGACCUGAGCAGGUGGUACGUUCCACUCAGACACACCUGACGGGGUCAGACCACCAACACACAAGCCCCACCGCUGCAGUUUAUUUAACCUUCAAGUAGUUUUAUCGAUCUUUUCAUGGUUUCUUCAUCUUUGAAUGAAUAUUUUUGGCACUAAAUGUGAACUUUUUGAACGGACUCUGCUCGUCAGAUGGAGGAACGUCAGGGAGUUUGUUGGAAGAUUCAGGUGAGAGGAAACAGAAGUAGGAUGUUAGACAGGACUGAUCUGCUGUCCUAUCCUAUACAUUGUAGUGUUAACAAAAUCAUUGGAGCCUUCAAUUGUCUCCUGCUGGUCAUACUACAACUCUUGGUUUGACACUAAAUGCAAAAUCUGAAUUUUAAGAAAUUUUUAUUAUUUUAUUAUUAUUAGUCAUAAAAUUCAAUAACUUCACUCUUACACACUGUAGUGUCAUCAAAUUCGCUGGAGCCAUCAGUUGGCUCCUGAUUAUCAUACUACAACUCUUGGUUUGACAUUAAGUAAAAAAUCUGAAUUUUAAGGAAUUUUUGUAGUAAAUAAAAUUCACUUACUUUACUCUUAAACACUGCAGAAAAAAUAAACGCCAUCCAACCAUCAAAAGGGUCCUACUGAUCAUACCUUCAGGUUUUUUCUUCCAAGUAUUGUCCGUGCAGUCCUUAACUUGGAAAAUAUUAUUAGCUGUUUAACAUUAGGGUUUAAAUGAAUCAGUUAAGGCUGCAGCCUCGUAAGAAAGCGUCUGACUGUCUUUCUUCCCAGUCGUCAGUACUUGAGGAGACAGUCUAAACAGUUUAGUUUGGUAUAUUGAUGUUAUCUGAUCCUCUCUUUGAUGAGGAGUCCAAGUUCCAUUACUAUUCAGUAUCAUGUAUUUGGACAAACAGGUGCACUGUGGAUCUAAAAAUAUAGCCCCACACACAUCAAGAGAAGAGCCGUCAAAGCUAAUUUACUCAUAAUCCUUAAACUUCACACACAAGCAUGCACACUAAAUAGUGUGCACAUCUUCACAUGGCAAUAAACAACCCAAAUCAUUAAAAUUCAGUUACUUUUGGUUGUUAAUGUUACACAAUCUACCAAAAAAAAAAAAAAAAAAUGGAUGACCACUUUUAACUGUUACAACAAAAAAUAUUUGAGAUAUAUAACAACAAUUUCAUUACCGAUAAAAAAAAAAAAAUCCUUAAAAUCAUGAAAAAUAGUUAAAUAUCAAACCAAGAGUUGUAGUAUGAUCAACAGGAGCCAACUGAGUUAGACAGAGUGUAAUCUUUUUGCAGUACAUAAGAGGGAAGUUAUUGAAUUUUAUUACUAAUAAAAUAAUAAGAAAAUAAGAAAAAAAUUCCUUAAAAUUCAGAUUUUUUAAUUUAAUAUCAAACCAAGAGUUGUAGUAUGACCAGCAGGAGUCAACUGAUGGCUCCAGUGAUUUUGGUAACACUACAAUGUAUAAGAGUGAAGUUAUUGAAUUUUAUUACCAAUAACAAUUCCUUAAAAUUCAGAUUUUCUAUUUAAUAUCAAACCAAGGGUUGUACUGUGACAGUCAGGAGACAACUGAUGGCAGCAGCGAGUUUGGUGACACUACAGUACAUAAGAGUGAAGUUAAUGAAUUUUAUUACCAAUAAAAAUUAUUUAAAAUUCAAAUUUUGUACUUAAUAUCAAACCAAGUGUUGUAGUAUGACCAGCAGAAGCCAAUUGAAGGCUCCAGUGAUUUUGGUGACACUAAAGUAAACAAGAGUGAAGUUAUUGAAUUUAUUAAAACAAUACUAAAAUAAUGAAAAUUUCUUAAAAUUCAGAUUUUGUAUUUAGUGUCAAACCAAGAGUUGUAGUAUGAGCAGCAGGAGACAAUUGAAGGCUCAAAUGAUUUUGGUGACGCUACAGUAAACAAGGGGGAAGUUAUUGUAUUUUAUUACUAAUAAAAUGAUAAAAAAUUCCUUAAAAUUCAGAUUUUUUUUUUAUUUAGUGUCAAACCAAGAGUUGUAGUAUGACCAGCAGGAGACAAUUGAUGGCUGCAGUAAAUUUGGUGACACUACAGUGUAUGAAAGUUAAGUAAUUGAAUAUUUGUCUCUCUUCGCUGUUGCAGCGGUUUUGCUAUUUGCAGACGGUCCCUGUUCACUCGUUGCACAGCCGGCUGCUCAUAGACAUCAGUGCUAUUUCUGCAACUUGAAAGACAGCGACUUUUGAUAAAACUGGCCUCGUAGCACAUUGUCAAGCUUACAGCGAUUUGAAAGAGGCAUUGUUUAUGUUUUUACAACGUAUAUCUCAUGAGUUAUUGAUGCCGGAAGUCCGAAUCUGUGAAUAUCUUGCCAACUUUACCUAACUCCCAUUCAUGCAUGAAUUAUGAUAACCUCAGUUAGGAUUUUUUUUUUCCCCCAAUUGUUUUUAUUCAUCUUUAGGCGUGAAAAACAAGGUUUGAACUUUAUUUUAUUUCAACCCAUUUUUCUAAAAAAUAUAUUUACAUGUCCACUGAGAUGGCCACCAUGCAUUUUGCUCUAGAAAUAUGGAUUUAACAAACAAAUGGAUAAAAUGAUAUACAGUGUAUUGAACUGUGAAAUGUGAUGUGAACUAUAAAAUAAAAUAAUUGAUGCAUAAAUAAUUCAAACAGCAUUGAGGGAUUCACUCUCCUGUAUAGAUUCCCAAGUCUCUCAGAUGACAUAUUUUCAAGAACAGCAGCAGUAAUAGCCUAAUUGUGGUCAAUGAAGUGUAGCUGAAAUAUAGCUGGUGAUGCAUGAUGUGCACUUUAGUGGACAUGAGAUUAAUCAUAAUUGCCUCCCAAUAUAACAUCAAUACUCGGAAAAUUUUGCAAUUGCAUGACUCCUUAGAUGUUCCUCGAUGUCACCAUAUUUUUCUUUCCUGCAAAGGUCUCUUUUUUAUAGAAGGUUUGAACAAAAGAAAAUGAGCUACUUGGUGUUUCUGGCUGCCUGUCGGCCAUCUUGGUUUGACUCUUUUUCUUUUUUCUUUCUUUUUUUUCUUUCUUUUUUUUUUUUUUUUUUAAAGAAUUUGCAAUGGCUAGCCAAUCACUGGCAGUGGAAGAAAUGAUGCAAUAGGAUCCGCUGUAGUGGCUGAUGUCCAACUAUGCCAUCAAAACUUAUGCACAUACAAGAAAACAGCUUUAGAAGAGCUGCACACUGUCAUGACCUCUAUGCAUGGAAGGGUUAAAGGCAUCAAUAAUGAACACAACACAAAUAAAUUGCUAUCAUAUUACAAUUCUGCAUAAUACACAGUGGAGAAUCACAGUGAUAUUGUAAUAAUUGAAGGUAUUUUUAAUUGUUACUGUAUUUUUGCUAUAUUUUUACUAUAUUGUACUGUAUUUUUCCUAUAUUUUUUACUGUAUUUUUACGAUAUUUUUACUGAAUUUGUACUAUAUUUUUUUACUGUGUCUUUACUAUAUUUUUACUUUAUUUUUAUGAGAUUUUUUGCUAUAUUUUUUACUAUAUUUUUGGUGUGUUUUUACUAUAUAUUUUACAGUAGUUUACUGUAUUUUUUUAGUAUAUUUUUACUGUAUUUUUUACCGUAUCUUUACUGUAUUUUAUGAGUCUGCUGUCAUCUAAUCUCUCAUGUAAGAUCAUGUCACAGGAGGGGGCGCUACUGGCCUCUUGUGGACACAGGCGGUAACGACACGACAUUAUUAUAAACGGUAUAGCUGGCGACAUUACAGAUGAGCAGCACUUCCUGUUUAUCUUCAACGUAAAAGCAUCUUUCUUUAUUGUACAUUUUAUGUCAAAAGUAUUACUAAGCGAUUUUGGUCGAUUCAGAAGGAUCUCUGGUGUAAACCAAGUCGUAUUUGACGACAGCUAGCUUCUCCACUUGCUCCAAUUACUUUUGUUGUAGUCCGAGUCACGUCCAAACAGGAAAUGAAUCCACAACGUAGCUAAUGACAAUCUAUAGCUGCCUCUCCGUGAUGGCAGCGUUAGCGAGCUAGCAGCUAAUCAGAAGCUAGUGACAAGCUAACUCCAGCGCUACAAGCAGCGUCUCUUUAAAAGGUGCUGAUCACGCUAUCAGGCUGAAACGUGAGACCUGGGACAGGAAAAGGAGCUAGAGCGCUGUGUCUUGCAGAGGAUUUAUUUUAGAACUACGCAUGUUAAGGUAGGAGUCCGUGUCAUAGCAAACCCUCGUUUGCACUUCCGCUAGCUCGGCUAACACUUCCGGUCACGAAUGCAUUUGUACAUUAGCUAUAACGUGUUCAUUUUUGAACGUAUAGUGACAACAAACACAAUUUGAGACUGUCGACAAACUAGUGGUCCUUAAAUAGAUUUUGUUUCAUACUGCAGAUUCUUCUGAGUCUCACAAAACCACGUUUUAGCAUAAUAGCAUUACGAUAGUUUUACGUUGAAACAGGAAGUGUUGCUCCUCUGUAAUGUCGCCAGCUUUGCCUCAAAUAAUAAUAGUGUCGUUACCGGCUGUGUCCGCCAGAGGGCAGUAAUGUGUACAGUAAAGGGUUAGUGACUUUAGGGGUCAUUUUGAAUGUUUUUAUGGCUAUUUUUGCUUCAGUUUGUUCAUGUUUUGUCUCAUAUUGUUACUUUAGUGACUUUAGGGGUCAAUUUGCAUGUUUUUAUGAAUAUUUUUGAUUCAGUUUGUUCAUUUUUUGUCUCAUAUUAUUACUUUAGUGACUUUAGGGGUAAUUUUGCAUGUUUUUAUGGCUAUUUUUGAUUCAAUUUGUUCAUUUUUGGUCUCACAUUGUUACUUUAGUUACUUUAGGGGUCAUCUUGCAUGUUUUAAUGGCUAUUUUAUUAUUCAGUUUGUUCAUUUUUUGUCUCAUAUUAUUAUCAUAGCAGAGGCUCAUGGGUAACGUGGUUCUGAGGCAGCCAGGAGCAGAGGCUCAUGGGUAACAUGUCUCUGAGCCAGCCAGGAGCAGAGGCUCAUGGGUAACGUGGUCCUCUGUUUCCAGUCUUUAUGCUAAGCUAGGCUAACAGUUCUAACCUCUUUCCAGUCUUUAUGCUAAGCUAGGAUAGCUGUUUUCCUCUGUUUCCAGUCUUUAUGCUAAGCUAGGCUAACAGUUCUAACCUGUUUUGUCUUUCUGCUAACCUAGGCUAACAGUUCAAACCUGUUGUGUCUUUCUGCUAACCUAGGCUAACAGUUCCCACCUGUUGCCAGCCUUUGUGCGAAGGUAAGCUAACAGUUCCCACCUAUUUCCAGUCUUUGCUAAACUAGGCUAACAGUUCUAACCUGUUUCCAGCCUUUGUGCAAAGCUAAGCUAACAGUUCCCACCUGUUUCCAGUCUUUGCUAAACUAGGCUAACAGUUCUAACCUGUUUCCAGUCUUUGUGCUAAGCUAAGCUACCUUGGAGACUAUUUGUCUGUGAGUAAAACGUGUACAUAAGCACAAAUAGAAAUUUCAUGUUAGAAGUUUGUUAUAAUUUGUCAAGUAGUUGAAAUAUGUCAUACAGUGUUGUUAGAAAGCCCUCAUAUUUUGAUCAUGAUGUUGUAUGGGUUGCGUUAUAGUUGUAUUUCCUCCCUUGUUGAGCUAAUCGGAUGUUUGUGUUUUUUUACGUAAUGUCCUUGAACGCACCUCGUGUGUGACGUAGCUUUUCUCCAUGUUGCAGCACAGUUGUUAGCUAGUUCUCUCCUGUGCACAUGUCUGAACUGGAUGCAUGUUGCAUUUUUUUCUUCCUUAACCUGCUGUGUGUAAAUGAUGAAGGUGAGUGGUCAUGUGUUCCACCAGUAGAGCAUGAUUAUGCACUGUUUAGUGUUACUUGUUGAUCGUUUAGCGACACUUUACAGGACGGACGUUAGCUUAGCAAUUAGCCCACCAUGUUGUCUGUCCGAGCGGGUUUGGCUACAUUGCUACCGUCAUGUGAUUGAAAUGCUGAGCCAUGCAUAAUAUUUUGCCCUUCGUUAUUGUGUUUAUGUGCAUUUGUGUUACUGUUUCAUAGUAUAAUUAUUAUUGUGGUUACAUUUAUGCUGAAUGUCUUACUGAUUCAGUAUUCCUGUUUGUGAUGUUUCAGAACCACAGCUAGCCACAGUUAUCCACAAGUAGCCACAGUUGUCUACCAGUGCAGCACAGAGUUAUCUGCAACAACAAUAAACAUCAUUAACCUGGAAAGUCUGGCUGCCGUGUUCACUCAACUCAACUCAACUCAACUCAGACCGACAAAUUCUUCAAUGGAAACUCUAUGUUGCCUGCUAAUCUUGAUUUGGAAGUAGAGGCUCAAGGAAAUGGAUAAGGAAUACUAGAGUACAGGGAAAGACGACCACGGGUUGUGACCUAUUACAAUCAGCUGCAUGAGGUGGAAGAGAAAAUGCCCUGCAAGCACUUUGAUCUCAACGUCACUUUUGAAGGAUCCAGCGGUAGAUCAAAUUCUCACACUAUAUCACAUAUUUUACACGACGUCCUUCAGACGGGUGACAAAUUAAAGCAAAUGCACUUUAACAAAAAAAAAAAAAAACAAAGCAUUUUGACUGCUGACCUGAGUAAAUUUAGUAAAUUGAAUUUAUAAAACACUCGCGUACAAUCUCUUAAAAUACAUACGUUUUGCAUACAUCACAAUGCAAGGACUGUGUGUGCUCAUCUUCAGGGACUUUUUGUUCGUAUUAUUUUUGUUAAGAUCAAAUGAAUACAUGAUUGUUAAGAUCAAAAUAACACGUUGGAGCAUAAUUACAUCAAAUACACUAUUACAUACGCUCUAGCCCACCAUAUAAUAUAUACAGCUGUACAUUAAUUAAUGCUUUGCUGCUGUCCCGGACCAGAAAAGCCUCCAGCAGAUGUAGAAAAGUCAGACAAGAUCAAGUAGUUGUUGUUGUUGUUAUACGUGUACACGACUGUGCAAAAUGUUAGAUCGGCAGCAAUAUCGACUACCUUAUUACAAAUUGCAGGGCACAGUUUCACAGCUUUGGGUAGUUCAAAAUAUCUUGUGCCAGUUCCUCUGUGGACUGACACUCUGUACAUUAUCUGAUAGGUACUUUAUUCAUUCCCUUAGGGAGAUUCAAGGUAUGCAUGAGCUCACGUGUUACAUAGAAGAUAGAGGGCCACUGUGCGAAUGAGCAUGCAACAGACAUCCCAAAUCUGCCUAAAAUGCUGGUAUUUACAGAGCAGGGCUCUAGGACCCGGAGACGUCAGGAUGGUGGUUCUUGAUAUCAGUCUACCAACUGGAUUCACCCCAGAAAACUCUGACCUGGAGAUGGUAAUCACCUUCUAGUGCUAGUGCAGAAAAAUCUGAAAGCUUGUGUCAAUGGUGUAUUUAAGUGUCUUUAAAAUGAAUGUAGUAUUUUAAAUAAAAGUUUGUAAAAAGUUUACUACAUCAUGAUAAUGACCUUCUAAUGGAUGAGACAUGAAUGAUCGCAUGUUUAGGGCGGCGGCGUUGCUAACUAGCUAACAGCUGACUCUGUUUAUGUGUGUGUCCAGCUGUCCAAUUCAGUGCAUCGUUACAUCAGUAACUUCCAGAUUGUAGACAACCUGAGUGACAGAGGCUCCCUGAUCAUUCACCUGUUCAAAUGUCCCUGAUCCCAGAGCUGGAUGCUUCAGAUCUGUGGUGGUUCUCCCACCAACUGGCCUAAUCUCCAUCUGUGGGAUGCUGCUGCUGCUGACCUUCCUCCAGCCCACUGCUUCCAGCUGCCCAUUUCCAUCAAUCUACUCUGCAUCACCCUCACUAUACUUGAUUUGCUCGUCUACAUAUUUUUGAAUUUACCACCAGCUAUAUAUGUAGUAUAUUUAAUGCCAGAGCCAUACACCGUAGCAGUAAACUAUAAUCAGUUUCCAGCCCAGAGGGAUAUAUGCGCAGAUUUUUUUAAAUACCAUGUAGAAGACUAUAUACAGGAAGAUGAGGUAUCAGUUCUUGCACAUAGAUAUACAACAGUCCUUUAUUACUCCCCAGGUUAGGGGAAAUUUCCAGUGUUAGAGCAGCAAAAAUCUUUCAGAGCAGCACUAACUACAGUUUGCUACAGUAAAGAUAAUAAUUAUAAUAACAAUAAUAUAUACAAGAAUGAAAAAUGAAUAAAUACAGUAUUACUACACUAUAAGUGACAUCAGCAUAAAGUGGCUUGUGGAAUACAUGUAAUUGUAAAAGUGCAGAAAAUGCCAGCCGUGCAAGGAGUUGUGGAGAUUUUCUCAAAACAGGUGAGUCCUGUGAAUAUGACCAAAAUAUGAGAUAAAACUACCAGAAACAUGUACAAAAUGGCCAAAAUAUGAUUGGUUGAUAAUGUAUCAGUGUUGUUAUUGAUUAUUGAUCGGUUGCAGGGACAGAGAUUUGUGUCUGAGUCUCUGCUGUCAUCUAAUCGCUCUCAUGUAAGAUCGUGCCACAGGAGGGGCCGCUACUGACCUCUUGUGGACACAGGCGGUAACGACACGACAUUAUUACUAACGGUAUAGCUGGCGACAUUACAGGUGAGCAGCACUUCCUGUUCAUCUUCAACGUAAAAGCAUCUUUCUUUAUUGUACAUUUUAUGUCAAACGUAUUAUUAAGCGAUUUAGGUCGAUUCAGAAGGAUCUCUGGUGUAAACCAAGUCGUAUUUGACGACAGCUAGCCUCUCCACUUGCUCCGAUUACUUUUGUUGUAGUCCGAGUCACGUCCAAACAGGAAACGAAUCCACAAUGUAGCUAAUGACAAUCUAUAGCUGCAUCUCCGUGAUGGCAGCGUUAGCGAGCUAGCAGCUAAUCAGAAGCUAGUGACAAGCUAACUCCAGCGCUACCAGCAGCGUCUCUUUAAAAGGUGCUGAUCACGAUAUCAGGCUGAAACAUUAGACCUGGGACAGGAAACGGAGCUAGAGCUCUGUGUCUUGGAGAGAAUUGAUUUUAGAGCUACGUGUGUUAAGGUAUUAGUCCGUGUCAUAACAAACCCUCGUUAGCAAUUCCGCUAGCUCGGCUAACACUUCCGGUCACGAAUGCAUCUGUACAUUACCUAUAACGUGUUCAUUUUUGAACGUAUAGUGACAACAAACACAAUUUGAGGGAGUCGACAAGCUAGUGGUCCAUAAAUACAUUUUGGUUCAUACUGCAGAUUCUUCUGAGUCUCACAAAACCACGUUUUAGCCUAAGAGCAUUACGAUAGUUUUACGUUGAAACAGGAAGUGCUGCUCAUCUGUACUGUCGCCAGCUUUGCCUCAAAUAAUAAUUAGUGUCGUUACCGCCUGUGUCCGCCAGAGGGGCAGUAGCGCCCCCUGCUCUGAUAAGGAUAAGGAUAAACUUUAUUGAUCCCACAGUGGGUAAAGUUCACCGAGCUGCUUCACUGAGGAGAGUCUUUUAGUUUUCAGAUAAUAUGAUGGCGAAGAAAAUGUGUUACUGCAGUAAAGAUUCCACUGAAUUAUUAUUUGAUCCAUGAUCGAGAGCACUCAGUUCUUCUCCAGUUUGUUGCUGCGGUCCGGUGAACAGGUGAGCUCCAGGUGAACAGGUGAUGUCAGCAGCAGGUUGAGAGGACUUUGGGUAUUGAGGCUGCAAGAUCCACCAUCAUCAAUGAGGUUCAGUACACCAUGGUCAACCACGGAAUGAGCAUCGACCGGCGUCACGUCAUGCUUCUUGCUGAUCUUAUGUCCUAUAAGGACCAGACCUGCUGGGAUCUGUACAGAUGUCUUGAUGAGGGUGGGAGUGGUUUCAGUAAAGGAGAGCUGGAUCAGUCUACAAACACAUUGUUGUAACCAGUGUGGGAAAUCUUUCAGGCAGUCAAGUUAUUUGAAACGUCAUAUGCUCAUCCACACGGAAGAAAUUAGUUUUUCACUGUGAUAUUUCCUCAUGUUUGACAAAGUGGUUAUUAUCUUAACUGUGAAAUAAAAGCCCUCCUUAAACGUUA